rnacentral:rRNA from 1 species
AGCAGCCGCGGUAAUUCCAGCUCCAAUAGCGUAUAUUAAAGUUGUUGCAGUUAAAAAGCUCGUAGUUGAAUUUCGGGAUCAGUUUGUUGGUCGUGCUUCGGUACGUACUGUCAUUACUGGUUUCUACCUUCUGAAGAACCUUGAUGUCAUUAAUUUGGUGUCUUGGGGAAUCAGGACUGUUACUUUGAAAAAUUAGAGUGUUUAAAGCAAGCAUACGCUUGAAUACAUUAGCAUGGAAUAAUGAAAUAGGACGUUUGAUUCUAUUUUGUUGGUUUCUAGGAUCGACGUAAUGAUUAAUAGGGAUAGUUGGGGGCAUUAGUAUUCAAUUGUCAGAGGUGAAAUUCUUGGAUUUAUUGAAGACUAACUACUGCGAAAGCAUUUGCCAAGGAUGUUUUCAUUAAUCAAGAACGAAAGUUAGGGGAUCGAAGACGAUCAGAUACCGUCGUAGUCUUAACC